ACGGAAGGCAGCAGUAGGGAAUAUUGCACAAUGGGGGGAACCCUGAUGCAGCAACGCCACGUGUGGGAAGAAGCAUCUCGGUGUGUAAACCACUGUCGUGAGGGAAUAAUGCUUGGCUCCGGCCAAGUUGAAUGUACCUCGAAAGGAAGCACCGGCAAACUUCGUGCCAGCAGCCGCGGUAAUACGAGGGGUGCAAGCGUUGUUCGGAAUCACUGGGCGUAAAGGGAGCGUAGGCGGAGACGCAAGCAGUCUGUACAAUCCCGGGGCCUAACCCCGGCUCUGCAGACUGGACUGUUUCUCUUGGAUAGUUCAGGGGCAGGCGGAAUUCCUGGUGUAGCGGUGGAAUGCGUAGAGAUCAGGAAGAACACCGAUGGCGAAGGCAGCCUGCUGGGGACUUAUCGACGCUGAGGCUCGAAAGUGCGGGUAGCGAACAGGAUUAGAUACCCUGGUA
rnacentral:rRNA from 1 species